UUUUAGACUUCAAGUUUUGGGGUCUCAGGUUUUUGUGGGGAGGGGUGUCAGGGGGGUCCUUGUGUUAUAAUUAGGUUAGUGUGUGUGUGUGUGUGGGGGGGGGGGGGGGUGUUUCCUGUAGACUGACGUGCAUAUCAGGAAAAUUCAGUCAUCACAUUUAUUCUUGAAAAUACAAACAUUAACUCUUCAAAUUUUACACCCUUUCGUCCUCUUCUGGCUGUUUUUGUCCACUAACUUUAGCUGCUGUAAAAACAUAUCAGAGAGAUAUUUUUAGAACUUUUUUUUCUCAGAUCUCUUCAUCAAGCUCAGUCCAGAUAAAAAAAUAUUAAAUUUUUAAAAAUAGAUAUUGAUUUUAACCGUUUAAAUGCCAAUUUCAGAGGUGAUGUCACUGAUUUGAGGAAAAAAAAAAAACACAAAAUGACUGAUUUUCAUUUUUAAAAAAGUUCAGAGGCCGGAGAUUUUUUUGCGUGCUAUCACGCUGUUGGAUAAGUCAAAAAUUAGUACCAUCACUGACUUCGGUGCAUUAUUAUUUUUUGCGCAGCAUCAGAUUUUAAGUUUUACUCCCCAUUGACUGCCUUAAUAACCACGUAUUAUGAAUUCACAGCCAUGACACUGCAUUUUAAAAAUUCAUCAUAUAAUGUGAUUUUUACCCAAAUCAAUGACAUCACCUCUGAAUUUGACAUUUAAGGGUUAAAAUUCAUAAUGAAAGAACAACAACAACAACAAUAAUAAUAAUAAUAAUAAUAAUAAUAAUAAUAAUAAUAAUAAUAAUAAUAAUAAUAACUGUUAUGAUAAGGACUGAGCCUGAUGAAGAGAUUUAAAAAAAUGUAUCUGUUAUUUUUUUACAGCAGCUAAAGUCAAUGGCCAAAAACAGCCACAACAACCAAAGUGUAGUAAAUCUGUCCACGGUGCAUUUUCGACCUCGUAAAAAAAUUGAAAAAGAAAAUUAAAAAUAUUUGUCAAAUUAAACUUCCUCACCAAAAGUGAUUUCACUCUCUAAAAAUAAGUGUUUUGGUAAAAAAAAGUGGCGUACUUUUCACCCUACUGGCCAACAAGGUGACACAAGAGUUACCAGCAGAAAAAACAGAAAUAAUAAUCAAAAAUAAAAGUCAGAAUAUGAUAAAUUAAGACAAAAACAAAGUACAGAGAGGAUGCGCCUCGCAAAACGCGCACCGCUUAUAGUAGAGUGGUCCACGGAAAAAUACAUUUAUAUACAUAUACUGUUCUUAUUUCUUGGGCUUAACAGUCAGUAAAGUUCCCAAAGUAAUUCUCAGCGGACACGGGUCUCACUCCAUGUGCAGAACAUGUGCAGGGGUGGGUUUCCUCCUCU